rnacentral:rRNA from 1 species
UGCGUAGGCGGACUAAUAAGUCAGUGGUGAAAUCUCUCGGCUCAACCGGGAAACUGCAAUUGAUACUGUUAGUCUUGAGUUCGGUUGAGGUAGGCGGAAUGUGUAAUGUAGCGGUGAAAUGCUUAGAUAUUACACAGAACACCAAUUGCGUAGGCAGCUUACUAGACCGACACUGACGCUGAGGCACGAAAGCGUGGGUAGCGAACAGGAUUAGAUACCCUGGUAGUCC